GAAACUUAAAGGAAUUGGCGGGGGAGCACAACAACGGGUGGAGCCUGCGGUUUAAUUGGACUCAACGCCGGAAAACUCACCGGGGGCGACAGCAAUAUGGGGGCCAGGCUAAAGACCUUGCCUGAACCGCUGAAAGGAGGGGCAUGGCCGCCCCCAGUUCGAACUGUGAAGCACCCUGUUAAGUCAGGCAAGGAGCGAGACCCGGGCCCACUGUUACCAGCAUGCCCCCCGGGACGAGGGGAACACUGGGGGGGACCGCUGAAGGCCAAAUCAGAGGAAGGUGCGGGCUACGGUAGGUCAGUAUGCCCCGAACCUCCCGGCCAACCCCGCGGCCUACAAUGGCCGGGACAAUGGGUCCCUUCCCCCGAAAGGGGGUGGGGAAACCCCCACAAACCUUGCCCUUAGUUCGGAACCGAGGGGCGGUAACCUCCGCCCCCCGGGAAGCUGGGAACCGAAGUAUCCGCGUUUCAACAUAGGCGCGGGGAAUACGUCCCUGCUCCUUGCACCCCCCGCCGGCAAAACCACCCGGAGGGAGGGAAGGGGGAGGGCACGGACAUCGUGGCGGGGUCCGAACCCUGAUUUCCGCAAGGGGGGUAAAGUCGUAACAA
rnacentral:rRNA from 1 species